UGGAGCUCUGCUUCAGGGAGAUGCUGAGGGACAAAAUUCUGUGCGAGGAAGCAACUGCUGCAAGGGUGAGCCAGCGUGGCUUCNUUCGCAGUGACCAUGAGGAGGGGGCAGGCCCUGCUGGGAACUGUUUUAGGGGGAGGUGUGCUUCGGUAUGGAGCUGCUGGGGGAAAGGAGUUUAUGGUGGGUCCCGGGGGUACCUCAUGGAACGGAGCUGAGAGCACCUCACAGGGUCUGGGGGAGCGCUGGCAUGUGGAGCUCUGCUUCAGGGAGGUGCUGAGGGACAAACUUCUGUGCGAGGAAGCAGCUGCUGCACAGGUGAGCCAGUGCGGCUUUGUAGUGGGAACUUGUCUCUUUUCCCUUUUCACUUUUACCUUGCCGCUCCCGCCCUGCUGCCCCCAGAAAAAACGGCGGCGACGAGGACAAAAGCAAUUUAAAUUGAGGGGAGUGAGUCCCGUUCCGUUACUGUGUGUGUUUAACCUGCGGGGAAUAGCCCUGCGGCGGUGAUUCUAAGGGGACUGACAGAGGCGGGCGGGUGCGAACCGUGCAGAGCCGAGCCGAGCUGUGCCGGAGCGGCGGCACGGAGCCGAGCCCGGCUCGGCCGCUCUGCCCGCAACGCAGGGGGCUCGGGGACCACUGGGAGGGCAGGGCUGGACGCGGUUCUACCGGAGCAGGACCCGACCGCCGGAGGAGCCGCCUGAGGAGCGGUGCUCGCCCCGGGGGCCGCCCCGCCCCGACUGCCCUGAGAACCAAGACCCAAAUUAAUCCCGGAGCCCUCCCCGAGUGGCCUGAGACCCAAGACCCAAAUUAACCCCAAAUCGAUCCACGAGUGUCCUGAGACCCCAGACCCAAAGUAACCCCGGAGCCCUCCCCGAGUGCCCAGGGACCCAAGACCCUAAUUAAGCCCCGAGCCCUCCCUGAGUGUCCUGAGACCCCAAACUCAAAUUCACCCCAGAGCCCUCCCCGAGUGCCCUGACCGGAGCCCUCCCCGAGUGCCCAGGGACCCAAGACCCAAAUUAAGCCCCGAGCCCUCCCUGAGUGUCCUGAGAACCCAGACCCAAAUUAACCCCAAGAGCCCUCCCCGAGUGCCCUGAGAACCCAGACCCAAAUUAACCCCAGAGCCCUCCCCAAAUUCCCUGUGACCCCAGACCCGAAUUAACCCCAGAGCCCUCCCCGAAUGUCCCGACACCCCAGACCCAAAUUAAGCCCAGAGGCCACCCUGAGACCCGAGACCCAAAUUCACCCAAGAGAC
rnacentral:lncRNA from 12 species